AAACUUUCAACAACGGAUCUCUUGGCUCUAGCAUCGAUGAAGAACGCAGCGAAAUGCGAUAAGUAAUGUGAAUUGCAGAAUUCAGUGAAUCAUCGAAUCUUUGAACGCACAUUGCGCCUGGCAGUAUUCUGCCAGGCAUGCCUGUCC
rnacentral:rRNA from 3 species